AUCUUUCAGUGAUAAGAAAUGUGAUUCUUACUCUCAAUGCUAGUAAUCAUUUUUUUAACUUAAUAUUGGGACAAAUUUGAUAAGUAUGCCCUAGAUGUGGGAUGAUGAGCCAAAGCAACAAGCUCAACAGAAAAGGAUCCUUGAGAAAAGAACCUUACAGACUUCCUUCCCUAAUGCUAUUGAUGGAAAGAUGGAAACUGAAAGAUCUCAGAAUGCAGUUUUGGAGAAGAUAAUUGCUGUUAAUGCAGCCACCAUAUUUCUAGACAUUUGUGAGGUCAUUGUGGAUACCAAGACAGAGUUUGAAGCCAACUGGAUACAUUCUGGAGAAUCUUUCCAUGGACUCUAUUUAUGGGCUACCCAUUCAACCUAUUUAUCUCUCUCUAGGAUCGCAGAACUGUUGCUAUUUUGCAUUGAUAUCAAGAGUUCCCUAUGAUGAUGCAAACACAGACCUGGAUCAAAAAACAGAAAAAAGUGAAUAUAGUAGUUAUCUGAGAAGGAAGAAAACAUUAACUCUGGUAAGUUUCAAGAAGGCAAUGGCUGAAGUGAGCCUUGAAGGAGGAGAAAUGGAAAUAGAGAAGUGCAUUUCAAAUCCAGGGCAUAACCUGUGCUAAUGUACAGAGAUAAAUGUUAAAAAGUUGGGGUCAUGAAGAGUUGGGCAUGACUAAAAAUGACCAAACAAUAAUAACAAAAGGAUACCUCAAAAUGUUUAUUGGCAAUGAGGAGCAGUCAAGAGAUGGGGAGAGGAAAAGAUAAGAGGGAAAGAAUUAUAUAUGGCAUGAGCUCCACAAGGAUAUUGUAAGGAUUGUGAUUGGGAGAAUAAAUUAGGAGUUCUUGGCA
rnacentral:lncRNA from 1 species